AAAAACUUUAUUGAACACUUCUAUAUGUCUAUGGAGAAUUGUGCUAGCCCAUACAUGGAUGGGGGUUUGAUCUGGGACAACUACAAGCUCCACUUCAGGCCAAGGUUGGGGGUGAGGGGCAGAAUCAGGCAGAGCGCGUCCAAGGGUGGACUGGCAGAGCAUGACCCAACUCGGAGCCAGAGUGCCUGGGGCCAGACCUGGGGCAAAGAGCAGAGGCCCCACCCCGGAGCUCAGGGGACUGAGAGAGGGUGCCAAAGGCUGGUCCUUGGUCAGUGCAUCCCCCCCCCUUGAGCUCUCUGCCCCAAGCUGGGCAGGAUGUGGUGGCAGCUGCAGUAGGGUGGGCAGGAUGUGGGGGUGGGGGCAGCUGAAAAGCAGCGUUACAGUCGUCUCCACAGCUCCUCCCUCCUCCUCUCCCCCCCCCACUGCCCCCUCCCAGUCACGUGCUCCCAGCUUGGGCACCAGCGGACUAUUUCCCUCUCUCUGGCGGAAGGACAUAAUUGACAGCGCAUACUAGACUUACAAUCGACUUCAGCUGCACCACGCCUUUUUCUGUAGCCCAGGACAGAAAGUUUGCCGAACACAAAUUUCUUUAAAGCCCUGAGAGGCUAACUCGGGAGUGGCUCCUUUAAAUGCAAAUAACCCACCUUCUUUCCCGGCUUCCCCACCCCCAUUCCAACUUUGCUCCUCGUGCCCGGACUCCGCCAGCUGCCAUUGACGUCACGCGUGCGUCAGCGUCGCCAGCCCAACCAGACGGCACGUGGGGGGAAGAAGGGUAUGUUGUAAGCCAGGGCUUUCCAUUCCGUUUCAGAAGCUUGAAUAUUUGCGUCUGGGAGAGAGACCUGGCGCGGGAAGAACAGAGCAAUUCUGAAGGUAAAGGAAGCUUAGUAUUUAAGACUGACGAUUUCUGUCUUUUCCUUAUUCCUGCCAUGCAUGUCCACAAAUGCAAGACUUCGUUCACUUUUGUCUCUGGCACCUGGAACAGAGCAUAUAGUAGGUACUCAUUUGAGUAUUUACAGAAUAAGGGUAUUAGACUUUGGAGUCCCUGUCUAAGUCUCCUUUAA
rnacentral:lncRNA from 1 species